rnacentral:rRNA from 1 species
AGUGAACGCUGGCGGUAGGCCUAACACAUGCAAGUCGAACGGCAGCACAGUAAGAGCUUGCUCUUACGGGUGGCGAGUGGCGGACGGGUGAGGAAUACAUCGGAAUCUACUUUUUCGUGGGGGAUAACGUAGGGAAACUUACGCUAAUACCGCAUACGACCUACGGGUGAAAGCAGGGGAUCUUCGGACCUUGCGCGAUUGAAUGAGCCGAUGUCGGAUUAGCUAGUUGGCGGGGUAAAGGCCCACCAAGGCGACGAUCCGUAGCUGGUCUGAGAGGAUGAUCAGCCACACUGGAACUGGUACACGGUCCAGACUCCUAAGGGAGGCAGCAGUGGGGAAUAUUGGACAAUGGGCGCAAGCCUGAUCCAGCCAUACCGCGUGGGUGAAGAAGGCCUUCGGGUUGUAAAGCCCUUUUGUUGGGAAAGAAAAGCAGCAGGUUAAUACCCCGCUGUUCUGACGGUACCCAAAGAAUAAGCACCGGCUAACUUCGUG